GGCUUCUGAUCAUUGAACUGUGAGAAAAAGUGUUCGAAUAUCGAUGGUGUGCGAUAGUAGGUUGCUGACUCUAUAGGUGUUCUAUUGGAAGGAAAAGAUUAUAAAAGAGAAGAAAUACAUGACAGCAUUCACAAUAAUGUCACAAGAGAAGAAAGGUGGUCUUAUAUAUUCAAUUACUAACUGUCUGGGACUAAAGUAUCAGAAGCAAUUGUACUUUGUUGCUUACACAGUAAUGGGAUGCUUCUUCUUCAUACUAGCAUACUUAUGCUUUAUAUCGUUAGUGUAUAAUUACAUUUUCUUUCUGGGGUUUAUGUUAGUUGCCUGUUACAAUGGAGCUACUUUCUAUAUCAAGGUUGUUGGGAAAGAAUAUUAUAAAAAUGAAGAAAAGAAAAAUGAAUAAAUUUAAAGUUCAUACUGAGUAGCUAAUAUGUCAUUUUAUUAUUAGGCCAGUGCACCAUUGAAGUACAGUUUAUUGAAAUGUGUUAAAAUUUAUAUUUUUACAAUAACAAUAAUGUUAGAUCUAUUUUGCUAGCAUUCAUGAGUGUCA